CAUUACACUACUGUAAACAUCUCUCUGACAUGGAUGUGUACUGUAAUUCAGCCGACGCUGUUUAUUCUCUUCGCACACCACAUGAAUCAGGACACUUCCAACUAAACCACUUCCCAAGAUACAGUGACUUCUGUUACCAGCUACUCUCCACUAAAAGUAGGUUAAGCCUCAAGACUUGCUCAUUAGAGAAAAAGAGGAGAAACAGAAUGGCAAAUAAAGGAGGAUACGGGACAGCCCUGCGCUCCGAGGCUUGAACAUUUCCAGUGCAUACUUAUGCUGUCUUGUUUUACCAUUGCAAGAGCCAGAACUUUUCCCAAUCACGUGGCCUCAGCGGAAGCAUCAGAAAACAAGGCUGCAUCCCAAACAAAUCCACUGGACUUUCUUAAACACGAUCUCAGGGCGGAGGAGCGGAGCCGUUAGAGUCGCACAAAGCCCUCCCAACGCACAGAACAGUGCCUUUCAUUCAGAGGCUGCCCACUCCACCACAAGGCUACAUCAGAGGCUGUAAUAGCCAUGGGGUGAGACGGAGGCUGUUGAAAGAGACCCGCAGUAAUCUGAGCUCAGGCCUUGUUUGUGACCAGCGCUCGUACACCAGGUCCUUCACCUUUUCAAGUACAGCUUGGUACAGACCCUUCGUGAAGGCUGUCUGCCUAGCAGUGGGAUAACCUUGCCAUGGAGUUUGACAAGAUAUGAGAGUUAAGCCACCGAACUGGCACUUAUAGCACCUCAUGACUUCAGGACAGGACCCAUGUGCCAAAUGUCGCCUUCUCUCCUGUCACAUCAAUCAAGAAGCCUAAACAGAACCAACAGGAAUUCCACAUAUUUUUUUCCAUCCUUCCGCCCCAUGUUUCUGAGCUCAUUUGACAUGACAUAGGAGGAGGACAUUUUCCACACACUUCAGUGCUUUUUGGAGAAUAACCACUUUCAUUGCAAAUGUAGUGUUAUCAGUCACCUGCUCAGAAUAAAU